rnacentral:rRNA from 1 species
ACUGGGACUGAGAACGGCCCAGACUCCUACGGGAGGCAGCAGUAGGGAAUUUUCCACAAUGGGCGAAAGCCUGAUGGAGCAACGCCGCGUGCAGGAUGAAUGCCUUCGGGUUGUAAACUGCUUUUAUAUGUGACGAAUAUGACGGUAGCAUAUGAAUAAGGAUCGGCUAACUCCGUGCCAGCAGCCGCGGUCAUACGGAGGAUCCAAGCGUUAUCCGGAAUUACUGGGCGUAAAGAGUUGCGUAGGUGGCAGAGUAUGUCUGUAGUGAAAGCGUGUGGCUCAACCAUAUACACAUUACAGAAACUGCUCAGCUAGAGGACGAGAGAGGUUAUUGGAAUUCCUAGUGUAGGAGUGAAAUCCGUAGAUAUUAGGAGGAACACCGAUGGCGUAGGCAGAUAACUGGCUCGUUCCUGACACUAAGGCACGAAAGCGUGGGGAGCAAACGGGAUUAGAUACCCCGGUAGUCCACGCCGUAAACGAUGGAUGCUAGCUGUUAUAGGUAUCGACCCCUGUAGUAGCGAAGCUAACGCGUUAAGCAUCCCGCCUGUGGAGUACGGUCGCAAGACUAAAA